UACAAUGGCUCAUACAUAUGAAGUAUUGAUUGGAAUCAGCAUUGCAAUUGGGUUUGGAUUUCUUCUACUGGCAGGUCUGUUUUGGUUCCGUAAACAAAUUGAUAACUGUGUGGACAGUUUUUUGACUCUAUGGAUACCACAGGAAGCUGACCAAAAGGAAAGACAACAAAACUUGCCGAAUACAGAAGACAUUACCUAUGCAUCAAUAAGAUGGCUGUGAAAAAUUAAAUGCUG